rnacentral:rRNA from 1 species
AACGAACGCUGGCGGCAGGCCUAACACAUGCAAGUCGAGCGCGCCUUCGGGUGAGCGGCGGACGGGUUAGUAACGCGUGGGAACGUGCCCUUCUCUACGGAAUAGCCUCUGGAAACGGAGAGUAAUACCGUAUACGCCCUUUGGGGGAAAGAUUUAUCGGAGAAGGAUCGGCCCGCGUUAGAUUAGGUAGUUGGUGGGGUAAUGGCCUACCAAGCCUACGAUCUAUAGCUGGUUUUAGAGGAUGAUCAGCAACACUGGGACUGAGACACGGCCCAGACUCCUACGGGAGGCAGCAGUGGGGAAUCUUAGACAAUGGGGGCAACCCUGAUCUAGCCAUGCCGCGUGAGUGA